CAUGACCCAGAUGAAGAGGAAUUCUGCAGAACGACCACCAGACUGUCCUGCCCGACUACGCAAGGAUCCAGCCGCUCUCCGAGGCUUUAGACGAUCUCUACAAGGAGUUCAACGCCCUCAAAGCUCAUCUGGGCGAUUUGACCGAGAAGUUUAACGCCGUGGAAACGUUCAUCGACGAGGUCAAGGCCGAACGGGCCUCGGCUCCGCCCCAGGCCCCGGCCCAGGCCCCGGCCCAGGCCCCGCCCCCAGCCAAUGGUCCCAUCUCCAGACAGGGAGGGCGGAGACUGGUGAAGAAGAAGGCCACGCCCACCACAUCUUAAACAGCUGAUCCUGUGUUCUCUGUCUUUUCUGAUAUCGGCUUUUUUACUCUUUCCUGUCAGUGCUGGCACUGUAACUCCUCCUCCUCCUCAUCAUCAUUAUUAUCAUCAUCUUCAUCCUUCAUCCACACUUAUGUGAAUAGUUUGAUAAAUUAACAUUUCAGAGAUUUUGGUGCAAACUGGUUCAUAUGAAACCCUAUAGACAUGCAAAUGGACUCUGAUACUGAUUCCUGACUCUACUGUGACCCUCAGUCCAGGUUUCAUUAGCAUUAAAUUAUAAAUAAUCUGACACCACUGAGACUAAAAUCUGCAUAUCUCAACAUUUUAUUAAACAUUAUCUUAUAUUGUGAUGUGACACUGAGUAGCAAAACAGAAAAUAUAUGAUAAAAGAAAAAAAAUAUUUAUACUGUUGGGAGAAAACAUGAGAAACUUAUUCAGAAUAUUGAGUUAAUACUUCAAAAUAAGGAGAAACAUUGUCACAUUACGGAUAUAUAUUCUCCAAAUAUUGACUUAGUAUCUCAAAAUAACCAGAUAUCUUCUAAAAAAAUUACUAAUAAGUAAUAAGUGAUUAUUUUAACUUGUGGCAGAAAUGGGCUUCCAUACAUAUGAAUCACAUUUUUUCUCCAAACUAAGUCGGGACAUAAAAAGCCAGAAAUAAAGCUGAAGAAAGAGAGGUAACUUGUUUUUGCGCCAAAAAAAUAAGCUCAUUUUAUAGAAUUUUCUUCAAUAUUUGAUGCAUCAGUUCAGACUUUAACUCCACUUAUUGGCUCAUUUGCUCAUUUUUAAUUAUUUUUGCAUUUUUGUGUGUUUUUGUGGACAGAGUUCUCUAAAAAAGUAUCACUUUUAUUAAAGUAUUCAUAUUAGUAUGGACAGUAAAGUACAACACAAACAAAAAACAUGCACUGAAAUCUGUAACAUAUACUGAAAAACGGUAAAGUCUCCCUGUAAUUAAAAGGCCAUUAACUGUAAAGAACCAAGAAGGUUUCCAGCAGAUAGAAUCCUAGAAAAACAAACUAAUUUGACCAGUAUUUUUUGUGAUAAUAUAACCUAAACAGGUACAAGCCCAGCAGUUGUUUUCCAAAAACUAAUGGUAGAUGUGUUAUCUCUUAGAAACUUCAUGGUAAUUAAUUCCUAAUUACCUUUUCUCUGGCUGAUAAAAUGUAGUGUGACAAUUCUGCUCUGAAAUACAGAUAGUUUUAACAAAAAGGAGGAAUUCCAGUGUCAUUAUAACCCCAGGAGCCUUAAAUGUUACCGCAUUUACCUUUUCUACAGACUGUAAAGUGAAGCGUGUGUUCUACAGGUCAUUUAUAGUUCAGAAAGUUCCACCAUUUGGUCAAAUAUUCAGUCAAAAUGACACCGUGUGAGCAGACAAACUCAUAUGUGUGACUAUUGAAUAUGUGUCCAUAUAAUGUGUGCAUACAUGUCCGGUUGUUGCAGGUUUUUCAGCAGAUUCUAAACAUGUCUACACUGCAAAAAUCUACAUCUGACCAAGUGUAUUUUUCUCAUUUCUAGUCCAAAUAUCUCAUCACACUUAAAAUAAGACAGAAUCACACUGUAAAAAAAAAAAA